CAACUCUGCGCCUUUCCUCCUCAGUUUAUUCCUUCCAGAUACUCAGUUGCUGCUUUUUCUUUGGAUCACUUUUCUGUGUUAUGGUAUUUCAGUUGUUUUUCCACUCCUUCCCCCACCCUCCUACCUUCCCCCCAUGGCAGGAUUCCUGAGAAGACUUGCUUUUGGAGAAAGCUGCACGCACAUCUGCUCUCUAGCUGCAGGGAGGGCCCUGUCAGGGGCUCGGGUCUCAGGGAGCCACGCCACACUGGGCAGUGGAGGCCGGGGGGCAGGGUCCAUGGGGCAUGGCAGCAGAGGCCCAUGGUGGGCAUGCUUCCUACAGCAGGCAGAGCUGAGCCUCAGGGCCUGGGGGUGCUGCCAAAGACCUGGGGCUGCAGCUCACCAGCUCCCUGGCUCUGCUGGCUGUGGCUGCUGGCUCGCUCGGCUCAGAUCUGCGUAUGCCAGACUUGAGGACCCUGAGGAUUUACCCCAUGUGGACGUUACAACUGACCAUCACAAGCCGAGCACGAGACAGGAUGGAGACUGGUGAAAAAGGAGGAACGCCUUCUGGAG
ensembl:lncRNA